AAGAGAAGAAAAGAAGAAGGAGGAGAAGGAGGAGAAAGGGAGAGAGAGAGAAAGCAAAUCUCAACCAAAUCCAUCUGUUCAAAAGCCUAAAUCGCUUAGAAUCUCGCCCUCUUUCAUAAUCCUAGCUUUGUUUUGAGUGGGGAGCAUUGUGGAGAGAGAUAUUGCCUCUCAAAAAUUCGGCCAUUUGAGAGAUUUUGGGAUUUUGGGAAGUUCAACCUCCAUGGGAGCUUGAGGAACACUCCUUGCUUGGUUGUGUGACCAUUGGUGGAUUGAGGCAAUUGGAUCAACCUUAAUUGACCAACCUUUGGAGCAAGCAAUGGAGAUGGAUUAGUCGUUGAAAUAGGUAAGGAUGCUGCAGGAGCCUCUGGUGGCAAGUGGCCAUAUCUGGAUUAUGCAUGAAAUGUGGCAUUUCUUUUGAGAUUAUACAUGUUGUUUUGUAGCUCACAUGUAUAGAAUUGUAAUGAAUAGGCAAUGCUAGAUUUAUGAUUUGUAUAUUGGAAUGAACUUAGCCUAUGCUCAUGCCUUUGGUCAUCUCUUUUGUUGAUGGGAGCCAAGGGAAUGAUCAUAGUGUUUUGUAAGCUAAGUUCCAUGAUUUGUAAUGGAUAUGUAAUGUAAAUG